rnacentral:rRNA from 1 species
AUUGAACGCUAGCGGCAGGCCUAACACAUGCAAGUCGAGCGGAGCGGCGGACGGGUGAGUAAUACCAAGGAAUCUGCCUGGUAGUGGGAGAUAACGACCGGUAACGGGCGCUAAUACCGCUUCCUAUCAGAUGAGCCUAGGUCGGAUUAGUUAGUUGGUGGGGUAAAGGCCGACCAAGGCGACGAUCCGUAACUGGUCCGAGAGGAUGAUCAGUCACCAUGGAACUGUGACACGGUCCAGACGCCUACGGGAGGCAGCAGUGGGGAAUAUUGGACAAUGGGCGAAAGCCUGAUCCAGCCAUGCCGCGUGUAUGAAGAAGGUCUUCGGAUUGUAAAGCACUUUUAGUUGGGAGGCGUUACCAACAGAAUAAGCACCGGCUAACUUCGUGCCAGCAGCCGCGGUAAUAC